GACGAACGCUGGCGGCGUGCUUAACACAUGCAAGUCGAGCGGUAAGGCCCUUUCGGGGGUACACGAGCGGCGAACGGGUGAGUAACACGUGGGUGACCUGCCCUCAGCUCUGGGAUAAGCCUGGGAAACCGGGUCUAAUACUGGAUAUGACUCCAUGACGCAUGUUGUGGGGUGGAAAGCCUUGUGCGGCUGAGGAUGGGCCCGCGGCCUAUCAGCUUGUUGGUGGGGUGANGGCCUACCAAGGCGACGACGGGUAGCCGGCCUGAGAGGGCGACCGGCCACACUGGGACUGAGACACGGCCCAGACCCCUACGGGAGGCAGCAGUGGGGAAUCUUGCGCAAUGGGCGAAAGCCUGACGCAGCGACGCCGCGUGAGGGAUGACGGCCU
rnacentral:rRNA from 1 species